GAUUCAUUGGGCGUAAAGGGUGCGUAGGCGGCGCGGUAAGUCGGGUGUGAAAUCUCGGAGCUUAACUCCGAAACUGCAUUCGAUACUGCCGUGCUUGAGGACUGGAGAGGAGACUGGAAUUUACGGUGUAGCGGUGAAAUGCGUAGAUAUCGUAAGGAAGACCAGUGGCGAAGGCGGGUCUCUGGACAGUUCCUGACGCUGAGGCACGAAGGCCAGGGGAGCAAACGGGAUUAGAUACCCCGGUAGUCCUGGCAGUAAACGGUGCACGUUUGGUGUGGGAGGAUUCGACCCCUUCUGCGCCGGAGCUAACGCGUUAAACGUGCCGCCUGGGGAGUACGGUCGCAAGAUUAAAACUCAAAGAAAUUGACGGGGGCCCGCACAAGCGGUGGAGUAUGUGGCUCAAUUCGAUGCAACGCGAAGAACCUUACCAGGCCUUGACAUGCAUCUCUAAGUUGGUGAAAGCCAGCGAGUCCCGAAAGGGACAAUUUGCACAGGUGCUGCA
rnacentral:rRNA from 1 species